UUGUGUUUGUGAACACAGCUGGAAAGCACCGCACGGCGGCUCUCCACUCAAGAUCGGCCCUGAGAGAAAAUGUUGCUCAGGAUUAAUCUUUUCAUGUUAACUGUGCAGAGCACAUUUGGAAAGACCCAUCCCUGGCAUACUGCAGAAGAAGCUGGCAUCCUUCAUGGGGUUGCACAUGCACUUGGCUUAGGACACGGAGAAGCUGAAGGAGGACACACGACCAGCAAGGUGAACCAGCAGAUGAGUGACAAUGUACUAGAGUCACCACUGUGCCUGGAGCCCUUGCAUUGUCCUUCAGAGCAUGAAAACCAUGGCUGCUGCUUCGCCGCUGCCCUCUCAAUCACAUACAGCACUUCUCUUGUGGCUACUGCUAACCUUGAAACCAUGCAGAAUUCUGGAGAACAGAUCCUGCUCAGCUGAGUUGACCCAGUAUAAAGCUACCACACUGCCCCGUGGGUCCAGGCAUGAAGUCUGCAUUGAAAGAGGAGGGUGAGAAAGAGGCAGCUCCUGUGAGCUCUCUUUCUCUCUCUUGUGCUUGUUUCUUUCAUCAGGAAAGCUAGUUUUCUAGAAGCACCUCGGUAGACUUCCCUUUGUGUCUCUUUAGCCAGAACGUGGCAAAUUGGCCACUCCUUAGCUCCAUAGGAAGCUGAGACGAGGGUAUUGGGCAUUUCCAGCUUCUUCCAGAGUAGAGACAGGCAGGGGAGAAAUGGGCUGGGAGUGGCAUUGGGUUAGUCAGCCUCUUGUCCACUGUUGUGCACAGUGCAUUCCCUACUAUCCCCUCUGUGGAGCCUGAAAGGAAGGGCAAGAACACCCAUUCCAAGUUGCACCCAUUGCAUUUGAAGAAACUGAGGCACAGAAAAGUUGAUGAUCUUACCCAAGGACAUACAAAGUUAGUGCAAAGCUAGGAGUAUGGAAGCCAGACCACCUCAAUUACAUUACAGACCCCUGCAUAUUGCGCACAUUGUCCAUUUAAAGCCAGAAAGGAGUACAUGGCAAGAUACCCAUCCUCAAUACUGCAUUAGAGCUCCCUGGCAAAUCACCCAACACAAUUUAGAUGUUGCUUUUUACCUGACAUAUUGGUGAAAUUUGAAAAGAUUACACAUAUCCAGUAUGACCAGAGAGAGAGAGAGAGAGAGAGAGAGAGAGAGAAAUGUGCUUACUAUUGGUGGAAGUGUGAGUGUGGCUACAGCCUUCUUGGUGAGAAUGGUCUGUUAAUUAUCACAAAUUUUGAAUAUGCUUCAGCCCAGAAAUAAUAUUAAAGAAAUGUACUGCCUCAGGAGACAUAAUCUGACAAAUACACAAAGUUAUAUACGCACAGCAGAAAGAAUGUUCGUUAUUGCAAGAAUCUAGAGGACUUCCAUAGAGGACUUGUUUAAUAAAUUUUGAUAUACCUAUGCAAUGGAUUAUAUAGUCACUGAAAAGGAUGAUAUGUGUCUGUAGUUCUUGAUAAUGAUCUUUACCACAUAUUGAGUUAAAAGCAUGUAUAUUAUUUCAUUCAUAUAAAAUGUUAUGUGUAAGCAUUUGCAUAGAGCAGCAUCUAGAAGGAUGUUCAGCAAAAUGUUAGUAGUAAUUUCUCCGGGUAGUACUUUUUUCUUUAUGCCUGUUUGUUUUGACUGAUUUUUCUAUAAAUAUGUAUUACCUUUAUAUUAGGAAAUGCAAGGAAGCUGCAUUAGAAAAAAUUUUUUAGAAAAAAAUCACUGGAGGAGACUGUCCUUUCUACUUGGCAGAAAGAAGGGAGUUAGAUGCUAAUGUUUUAAAUUAUCUUCCAGUUAUACUGUUAAGGUCUUGCCAGUUGUUUGAGGCUGAUCAGGAAGAGUGGAGAUGUAUCCUUAUAUUUUUCAUGAGGAUUUUUGCAACUGUCCUUAUUUGAAGAUUGGAAAUAAUCACGCAUUUCACACCAUUUCUAAUAAGACAGUGCCCUGCCCUACUUCAAGUGACUGCUUUGACAUUAGAUUUUUGUCAUCCCUUAACACAAUUCUGUCAUCACCAGGAAGUCCCUGUCUUACAAAGGUGGAAACAAAGUGUCAACCAAAGGGUCCAAAAAAACAAAAAAACCUCAAAACGCAGUUAAUAAAAACCAACUUUGAGAUAGGUUCAAAAAAAAUUAAAGGUAACUAACUAUAAGUGGGCAGGUAGAAUCUUAGUGGAGAAAUAGAAACUAUAAAAAAAACGGAGUGGAAAUUCUAGAACUGAAACAGCAGCUUGUAUUUGGCAGAAGAAAGAGUGAGCUUAAAGACUAAUCACCUCUGGUCACCCUGCUUUCCAUGUUAUCAUUACUUUUGCGCUCACUGGAAAUAUUCACACACUUUCCAUACCAUGCAAGGCUUGCCCCAUUUACCUAUCAAGAGAUGCAUGGGUUUUCUGUGCUCUCGGAUACCUCAAACCUCUCUGGGAUCUGGGGUGCAGGGCCACAUUAUCUAGGAAACUCCAGUGUUCACAUCUAAGCUAACUCUUGUUCUCUUGAACUUCCCCUUCUCUCUUUCACAGCUUGUGGACCCAGGUGGGGAAGAAGUAGGACAACUUUACUCUUCCUCAUCUCUGACCUAGGUCUCCUCUACCUAGGUCUCCUCUACUCUAGUCUUUCAAAAGUCCUAAGCCAAACAUUGUGUUUUGUUACAUUGUUCUUUCUUUGAGGCAGUUAGCAUAGCACACCCUAGCUGCUGCUAAAACUAGGCAAAGGGCUCACUUAUCAGCCAAGUACUGGGCAAAAAAAUUCACAGGUUAAUAUGUCAAAUUAUAACAUUUACAUUCACCUAGGUGUGUGUAUAUCCGAGGCUUGGUGAGACUUAUUACAACCUCAUAGGAUUGUUUGAGAAACAAUUUGAUAAAGUCUUUGCAAAACCUGGGUCAAUACAAAGUGCUUUACAAACGGAUGUAGGAGUACAACAGUUCUCUUGUCUUUAGACGGGAAAUAUCACAGCUGCUUAUUAGCUCCAGGAGUUCGAUCAAAUGAGUCACUCCAAUAAUGUCAGGAAGGUAGAUUGCCUGUGAUUCUUAUUUCUUUUCUAAGAUUGAUAGAGAACAAAGAAUCCAAUAUAGUAAUGAAAAUUCUCUUUUCUGAGAAAUGUUGCCUUCCAAGGACAAAACUGACUACAGGGCAGAAAACCACACAUAACACAAGAAUAAGGCUAUAGUUAUUCAGCUUGUUUGUAUAACAUGGCAACUCAUUACAGAAAUUUUGGAAAAAUUAGAAGGAAGCAAAAAGUCAUCUAUGAAUGUGUAUCCUUUGAAAAUGACCACUCUUAACAUUUUGAUGUGUUUCUUUCAUUUUUUAUUCUAUGCAUUUUUUUGUUUUCAUGGAUGUGAUAAUAUUGUAUCUAAAUUUUUCUGUACUGUUUUUUUUUAAAAACUUAAAAGUAGGGGCACUUGGGUGGCUCAGUCAGUUAAGCAUCCGACUUCAGCUCAGGUCAUGAUCUCACAGUUUGUGGGUUUGAGCCCUGCUUUAGGUUCUGUGCUGACAGCUCAGAGCCUGGAGCCUGCUUGGGAUUCUGUGUCUCCCUCUCUCUCUGCCCCUCACCUGCUCAUGCUCUGUCUCUCAAAAUAAAUAAAUCAACAUUAAAAAAUUUUU